rnacentral:lncRNA from 1 species
AUAUUGCCCGUUAGUCUAUGUGUUGGACCUAGGGCAACUGUUGUGCUUACGCUGGUUGAAUACGGAUAGGAGACCCCAAGUAAUGGCUUAGGAAUUAACGAUUUAUUGCAUUGCCUAAUCCUGCUUACGUUGGUGGACUAAGGAUAGGAAAUUACGAGUAAUGAUUAGUGAACUAUAUCACAAGGGAUUGUUAUAGUGGUUUUGUUAAUUUGUUGUGGGAUUAUAGUGAUAAUAUCAUUCAUGUAAUGCAUCGAACAUCAACAAUAGAGAAAUAAG